ensembl:ncRNA F31E8.11 ncRNA
GGAAUUCUCUCGCCAUUGAGGAAGACAGCGACUCCUUUAAUGGAUCCAGCCCCGUCACAGGCACGACGAGCCAUCAGAUGUCAGAUCGUCCAGCUCCUUCAUCUUGAACUUUGACAGAUCCGGCGAGAACGUGAUCUUCGUGAAG